UACAGAGGGGGCAAGCGUUGUUCGGAAUUACUGGGCGUAAAGGGCGCGUAGGCGGCCUGCUAAGUCGAACGUGAAAUCCCCGGGCUCAACCCGGGAACUGCGUCCGAUACUGGCAGGCUUGAAUCCGGGAGAGGGAUGUGGAAUUCCAGGUGUAGUGGUGAAAUGCGUAGAUAUCUGGAGGAACACCGGUGGCGAAGGCGGCAUCCUGGACCGGUAUUGACGCUGAUGCGCGAAAGCCAGGGGAGCAAACGGG
rnacentral:rRNA from 1 species